CAGCAGCCGCGGGAAUACGAAGGGGGCUAGCGUUGUCCGGAUUUAUUGGGCGUAAAGCGAGCGCAGGCGGUUAGAUAAGUCUGAAGUUAAAGGCUGUGGCUUAACCAUAGUACGCUUUGGAAACUGUUUAACUUGAGUGCAGAAGGGGAGAGUGGAAUUCCAUGUGUAGCGGUGAAAUGCGUAGAUAUAUGGAGGAACACCGGUGGCGAAAGCGACUCUCUGGUCUGUAACUGACGCUGAGGCUCGAAAGCGUGGGGAGCAAACAGGAUUAGAUACCCCAGUAGUCCCUGUCUCUUAUACC
rnacentral:rRNA from 1 species